AUUUGCCUUUUGUCCAUUACCAUGAAUCCGGAUCCAUAUCACAAAUUGAUGAUUAAACUGAAUUACUCGACCCGACAUACUUCCACUUGGGUUCUUGGUCGGCAAAUAUCAUCACCAUCGUGUGAAAUGCUUCUAGUCCCCACGCUAGAGAGUAGAGACUUCAACACGAAAUGCAUCAUUUGCCAACCCCCGAAUUCGCCGUAGUAUCUCUACAACAAAUCGUUCAUGCACAACCGUCCUUUUUCUGUUGCCGCUGGCUUUCCCAAUAGUGGAUAUGCGGUUCAUCAAAUCUUUUGGAUCUGUUCAUGUGUCGGAGUGUUUGU